AAUAAUAUAGAUCGCACAAGGGCCGCUGCGCCAAUUUAUGAGAACAUGUUUUUAGUGGGCCAACCCUAAUACUAGUGGUGGACGACUAAAAGGAGAGGUGGCUAUUUAUUGAUCGAAAUACAUCAGUUGAGGGGGUGACGCACGAAGAAAAGACAGGAGAUUGACGACUGUUUUUAGGCGACAAGAGGAGAAAGAAAAAAGAAUUGGUUAAGGGUUCAAGCCGUAAUCAAGAUUCAUGGAAUGAAGGAUUCUGGCACGGUAUGCUUCGUUUUCGCGCUGCGCUAAAGUUACGGGAUCAUCCACGUUUAGGGAUUGCGACUUUUUCCUGGACGAGUCGCAAGUCUUAAACGGUGUUUAUUUUAAAGUUUGUGGUUGUGUCUUAAGAACAAUGUUUUCAUUUGGUAGGUUGUAAUUUCCGUUGCAUGUGUCAACACUUUGAGACAAUGUUGUUACUUUUGUUGUUAAGACUUUAAUGGAUGAUUCUGCAUGGUUUUACUUUCA